rnacentral:rRNA from 1 species
GAACCGUCCAAACGUUAUUCGGGAAUUACUGGGGCUUAAAGGGUGCGUAGGCGGCUUGGCAAGUUGGGGGGUGUGAAAUCCCUCGGGCUCAACCGAGGGAACUGCGCUCAAAACUGCCAGGCUAGAGGAAGAUAGAGGUGAGCGGAACUAAUGGUGGAGCGGUGAAAUGCGUUGAUAUCAUUAGGAACACCUGCGGCGAAAGCGGCUCACUGGGUCUUUUCUGACGCUGAGGCACGAAAGCUAGGGUAGCGAACGGGAUUAGAUACCCCGGUAGUCCUAGCCGUAAACGAUGAGCACUAGGUUGGAGGCUCCUUCAUAGGCUUCCGACCGAAGCGAAAGUGUUAAGUGCUCCGCCUGGGGAGUAUGGUCGCAAAGGCUGA